rnacentral:rRNA from 1 species
ACGGACUAUUUUGAAGAGUAAUCGGAUUAAUAGUUAGUGGCGAAAGGGUGAGGAAUGGAUAGGUAACGUACCUCGGGCUCCGGAAUAGCUCAUCGAAAGGUGGGGUAAUGCCGGAUGAUGUCCUGUGUUUAAUGCACGGGACCAAAGAUUUAUCGGCCCCUGAGCGGCCUAUUCCCUAUCAGCUUGUUGGUGAGGUAACGGCUCACCAAGGCGACGACGGGUAGCGGGACUGAGAGGUUGACCCGCCACAUCGGAACUGAGACACUGUCCGGACCUCCACGGAGGGCUGCAGUAACGAAUAUUGGGCAAUGGGCGAAAGCCUGACCCAGCAAUGCCGCGUGUAGGAUGAAGCUUUUCGGAAUGUAAACUACUUUCAGGGAUUAGAAAGCUACGGUUGAUCAAUCCCAGAAGAAGUCACGGCUAACUUCGUGCCAGCAGCCGCGGUAAUACGAAGGUGGCAAGCGUUAUUCGAAAUCACUGGGCUUAAAGGGCGCGUAGGCGGAUAUGUAAGUGUCAGGUGAAAUCCCUCGGCUUAACCGAGGAAUUGCCUGACAAACUACAUAUCUUGAGUCAAGUAGGGGUGUGUGGAACUCUUGGUGGAGCGGUGGAAUGCGUAGAUAUCAAGAGGAACGCCGAAGGUGAAGACAGCACACUGGACUUGUACUGACGCUGAGGCGCGAAAGCGUGGGGAGCGAACAGGAUUAGAUACCCUGGUAGUCCACGCCGUAAACGAUGUAUACUAGGUCGCGGAGGUUCUGACACCGUCGCGGUCGUAGCAAAAGUGUUAAGUAUACCGCCUGG